GUAAAACUUUCUUCAAACAAAGGAUAUGAAUCUCUACAAGUCUGUUAUCUAGGACUAUCACUCUGGCUGUGAAACUUUACUUAUUUGUAAAUGAGAACUGAUGGAAUUCUUUGUGAAUAUAAUCUGUCUCAAAGAGGGGUAUAUCAAAACAUUUUCCAGCAUUAUAAAAUAUUUUUUUCCCUGUCGAUAUGUGCCUGUUUUUCCAUUUUUUUUUUAAAAUUGCCUUUAUUGGUUGCAAGUAUAAUAUUAUACUGCUGAAAAUGUAUUCUUUAUGACUAAUUUAUUCUUUAAGCUUAUAUGUUGUGUGCCUUAUUUACUUUUCAUCUUGAUUAUCAUAUUUAAUGAAUUGAUUGAAUUUUUAAAUGUAUUUCAUAUUGCCAUAUAAUAUAUAGCUAAACCACAUUGUUUAUGUCACUGUAUGGUUUUUUUUACCCAAAUCUUCAUGUGAUGUACUUUUCAAAAUGUGUAAAAAAGUUCAAAAUUUAUUCUUAAAUAAAAAUUAAUGAUUGAAUAUACACAUUGUGCUGAGACUCGGGUGGUCUUUAAUGAUUACAGAACUUUCAGAAAUGUCAAUCUGUUUUGUUGACUCUCGAAAUAAAAAUUGAUAUGUUUCCAUAUGUUACAAC
rnacentral:misc_RNA from 1 species